rnacentral:lncRNA from 1 species
ACACAUACAUACAUACAUACAUACAUACAUACAUACAUACAUACAUACAUACAUACAUACAUACAUGUAUGGGUGUAUAAUGACGACCUGAUCGUUAGACUGCAACCUGAUUGCUACCAUGGACAUCGGCCGCACACGGCCGCAGUUGCCAAACUAAUUGCCAACCUAUUCAUCUCAGAAAUGGUAGGAUAGAAAUGGCGAACGGAAUGGCUCAGAGGAAACGGCCGCGGACUACCGCGCCGAGGACGCUUGGAAAUGGCGGCACGAGAAAACCGACAGAGCUUCCAAACGCUGGCAGAGCAAACGCAGCUCCAAAGCGGAUUAACGCCUUUAACGUAGUAACGCUGGACGGCCACAAAUACAGCUCGGUGCUGGAGUUGGAAACCAUUGACCUCGUCGUCCAUUGGCCAGCGAGGUCCGACCGGAAUGACUUAAUGGCUCAGAUAUAUGGACCAUUAGGAACAGCUAUUCGGUCGACGCUGGGGCAGCAUUUCAGCUCUACCGAGUUCACAUGGUGGGGCGGCCCACGCAUUGAGAAGCGGCUCUUAUACGCAGCUGGGGCUGAGAACAACAUCGCGAUGGAAUUUUCCAUAAUGGUGCCAAAAGGUGGAUUAGCGCAUUUGUUCGAAGCCUACGGUGAACGCAUUCGCGUUAGUGGGGUGCAACUAUGCCCCAACGAGGACCCCAUCGAGGUGGAGCUGCAGAUCAAAAAUCUGCAUAAAGUCUUGCCGGUACAGUGGGAGAUUAAGGGAGUCCCCACCAAACUCAGCGUCCACGGGGUCGCUGAGUUCCUCGCCAGGGCAUACAGCACCAGCCAUCAGCCCCGCACAGCGACGGAAUUUAUCUACCUGAUCCCCACGGCCAUGGCCGACACCUGGCAGCUCACCCUGCCCCGGGAUCACCGGGGCUUGCCAUGUGAGAUGCCUUAUGAGUACUACGGGUGGUUGGGCGAGCAGCACCAGGUCGGCUGUUUAAAGGCCGCCAAGCUGUCACCCAACCUCGAGGUGAACCCCUACCUUAUGCCCCGCUGUCCACCACCCCGGGAGGAGCUUCGCAAGCAGCAGCGGAGGCAACGAGAGGCGGCGGGGCACCACACCCAGCAAACCCGCCCAGCAGACCCUUCACCGCCAAUGCCACCCAUGGCAGCAUUCAGCGGCCCCACCCGCCCGGCAACCUACCCUGGCCCCCCGGGACAGACCGUGGAGCCGCAGGUGUCAGGGUUAUACAGGGUCAUACAGGGUUAUACAGGGUCAUACAUACAUACAUACAUACAUACAUACAUACAUACAUACAUACAUACAUACAUACAUACAUACACACGCGCGUGACGGACUUGCGGAGCACCUGCACGGCCCAGAGGAAGUCCCGCCAGCCGCAACCCAGCUCCGCCAAAUCUGGCCGCAAUACCUGGGGAAACAACAAACAAACAGACAGACAGAUGGGCAGACGAAACAAACGGGUACGAAGGCAAAGAUACAUGGCAAAAGGUUUUAAAAUAAAACUGACGGAGGCAAGGCAGAUAUGCGAACGGCCCCGAAGGGUUUAGUUGCAGCACAGGCCGCAGCCAAGUAAAGGUAGCAGCAGCAGCUGCAGUAGCAGCGGUAGCAGCAGCAACAGCAGCUGCAGUAGCAGCAGCAACAGCAGCUGCAGUAGCAGCAGCAACAGCAGCUGCAGUAGCAGCUGCAACAGCAGCUGCAGUAGCAGCUGCAGUAGCAGCUGCAGUAGCAACAGCAACAGCAGCUGCAGUAGCAACAGCAACAGCAGCUGCAGUAGCAGCUGCAGUAGCAACAGCAACAGCAACAGCAGCUGCAGUAGCAGCAGCAACAGCAGCUGCAGUAGCAGCAGCAACAGCAGCUGCAGUAGCAGCAGCAACAGCAGCUGCAGUAGCAGCAGCAACAGCAGCUGCAGUAGCAGCAGCAACAGCAGCUGCAGUAGCAGCAGCAACAGCAGCUGCAGUAGCAACAGCAACAGCAGCUGCAGUAGCAGCAGCAACAGCAGCUGCAGUAGCAGCAGCAACAGCAGCUGCAGUAGCAGCAGCAACAGCAGCUGCAGUAGCAGCAGCAACAGCAGCUGCAGUAGCAGCAGCAACAGCAGCUGCAGUAGCAGCAGCAGCCAUAGUAGUCAAGCAGUGGUAAUCGGAACAAGGGCAGGCGCAUCAGUGCAUAUGACCCGCAACAUGGCCUUAGCAUCGCCGUCCCACUCCUUGUACACCUCGUUGUCCGUCUUUAAGCUCCUUCGUACAUGCCGCACAUCUUUAGCCGUUCCGCUGCUCGCUAUCCAGCAUGAAUCCAGAUUUUUUCGCACCGAUACAGCGUGUUCGUCACUCCAAGACCCCCACCAUGUAAGUCAGCUAAACUCAGCUAAAGGUGCGCGCCUAACUAGGCAAUACCACUUGUGCUGGUGGGGUCAAGAGACCCCGAUAGGGGGGAUAGCAAGCCAACAUUUCGGCUGUACGGCUAACAGAUGUACGGCAAGUACGAGAAGAUGCUAUCGAGGGCUCGAUAACGGGGGCCGAAUUUAUCUGACAUAGAUGAGUGAGGGUAAUGUUGAUGACAUAAAUAGAUGAUGAUGAUGAUGAUGAUGAUGAUCAACGAUAAUGGCAGUGGGCGGGCAGGAUAUCGGGGUCUCCACACAGUCCAGCAGCUCUCCUCGCACACCCCUAGCGAACACCAAGCGCCCACCUCGUAACAGUCUCGCACGCAUUGCUGCAUAACCCGGACCUCCUCCAUCACAUACGGACACCCCAGCUGUCGUAUCUCCUCGUCGUCGUACUCGAGCGGUGUCCGUACUGCGGUCGGCAGUGCCGCAAUCCAAGGUCCCCAGCCCGCCUCGCCCAACAACUCCGGCCCCGCGUCGGGUUCAUCCCUGCCUGCCGCGGCCGCCGUUUCCUUCGCUGCCGCUACUGCUACUGGUGCUACUGGUGCUGCUGCUGGGUUGACAUCACCGCCACAUUCGCCCUGUUGUUGGCUGGCUGAUUCACGCGAUGGACUGUUCAUCCGGAUAGGGGACGCCCCUGCUGCUGCGGCGGCGGCGGCUGCUGCCGGUGCUGAUAUCAUUGCCGGGCCUGACGCUGCCGUUGCCGCUACCGCCAAUGAAAGGUGCCGAGCUCGGAGCAGGCGAAGUGCCAUUUCAGCGGACCAAUGUAACUCCGAAUCCGACUGGCCAAAAGGUACGACAAGGAGCCAGGGAAGCGGAGGGAGCCGUGGGGGGCCGUACGGCCCGUACGGCCAGGUAAACCGGAUUGGCGUGUGAAGGCGGUGCACGAGACAGGGGGAAGUGGACCGGAUGUGAUGGACGAGCACACUACUACGUUGUGUACGGACUGUUGGACUAACAGUAGUAAUAGUAGUAGUAGCAAUGCGUUGCGAUGUACGGUUUGUGUUCAUGAGGUAUUGUGUUCCCUGGCAUCCGAUUUGGAUCCAACCUGGAUCCGGCUUUGGAUCGACUCCAUGCAGUCCACACAUGGCGGCUUACCAGAGCGCCUCAAGACACAGCGCCAUGGCACCCUCGGGCCGCAGCACCGAGGCCCAUGAGGAGGUCGUCGUCACACCUUUGCUGGUCGCGGCAAUGCGGGGCUGAGGUAAACGGUGGUUCCUGGGCGAGCCGGCGCUAGGUGUGGCCGAGUACUUGGUUAGGCGCGUGUGCGGUAGAAUCUUUUGUAGGCCCUAUCUUAUCUUAUCUUAGCUGCAAGUUGAGGUCGCCACGGGACGGCACGAGACCAAAACACACACGGACGCACCUGGCUGGUGAAGACGCGUGUGAGAGGCACGCUGAGCAGCGUUUCCCCGGGCGCCAGGUCGGCUGCUGCUAUCAGCCCUCGGCCGCGGCCGGGACCUAAGUCCCGUACUACUACACGCAGUCCAAGCCUUUUCUCACGACCAGCGGCGGCGGCGGUGGCGGCGGCAGCGAUGGGUUUGGUUGUGUCGUCAUCGCCGUCGCCAUCGUCGUAUUGGGGCCCGGGCCAGCCGCUACAGGCCCAGUGCAGGAGUGCCGCCGCGGGUGCUGCCGCUGGGGUGUUGUUGCUGCUGCUGCUGCUGCUGCCUCUAAGAAAUAGAGAAGUUGGGGAUUUGGAUAGCAGAAAAGGUAGCCGGGGUUGAGGUAAGAUGGGCCCACCGUAUGCGGGCACCAAGUCGCACGCAUUGGAGGAUUACAAGGGUGGGAGCAAAGCGAUGUUGAUUUUGUGAAUGAGCGUGUGGAUGAGCGUGUGGAUUGCUAGAGCUUGCCUGGGGGAGGCGACGGCAUCGGCUCUGGCUGCGCGUGGGUGAACCGUGGGCGCUCGCGCUUGGAUUCGCCAGGAGGGCACGGGGAUAAGGCGGCAAUUGCAUGUCCCAAUGAACAGUCGCCGCCUGUAUAAUGAAUGAAACUCGUUAAUCAUGCUGAAGGCCCAGUCUCCAGUACCUUAACCCGUCGCCUAAACUUGCUGAACCCAGCCCCUGGGAAAGCGUAGCUGCUGGUGAGUACUCUGCAUAUUUUCCCGUCGUAAAUUCAGCCCUGGACAAACAAGAGGUUGAGAUGUCGGGGACUCGUAGGUGAAUUGGGCGAAUGCCGUACUGUGUGGGGCCGAUAUUGGACUUUGGAGCUCCGUAACUGCAGCAUUUUGUGCAUUCCAUGUGGGAUUCUUGAAUUUCCCUUUGGAAUUGUUCACAUUCUGCUCAAAGUUGAUUUCACAGAUAGGCAGAUUUGCAAGGAGCAGGCUUAAAUCCUUACAUGGUUUUCUGCCAUCAGGUCAGACGGCAGAAGUCAGACCUUUAUUUCAACACAGCGAGUGACAAAAGUAAACGAGAUCUCCGCGCUGGUAACGAGCUCGCAGGAAACGCGCAAUUGCUGACUACGGUGGCCUAUGAGCGCAUCGGAAAGGUUUCACUUCGCUCGUAUGCAGUUGGGAAUUAUCAAAUGUUACGCGAUGCACAGCAAGCACGUAGGCAGGUUCAAGGACGCAAACCGACAUUGUGCCAGCGUGAUGAGAACAGCUAAGCCCGGCGCAAUACCUUCCACAGCCGAGCCACAGGUAGCAAUGCCCACUGCGGAGAGAAUUAUGCCACUGAAGAUCGACGUAAUUACAGAGCCCAUACAUGGCACAGCCGUCAGCCCCGUGCGCAGGGCCAUGGAUGCGAACAUGUGGUUUACAUGUGGUUGUCGCAAGCCGCCUGAGUCUUGCCACAAGCGACAUUAAUGCCGCUUGAUGGAAAGCUAGCUGGCCCACCAUUCUGGGCCGACACCGUGUAUGACGGCUCUCCAACGUACUCCUUCCCGCCGCAGCCCAAGCGCACACCACACCUGCCCCUCUCCCGUACAACUUCUUGGCUAAUGACUGGUUCCCCGUGUGAGCACGCACAGCCAUUGCUGUCCAGGCAUUUUGAGCAGUCAAGGCCGUAUGCGUCGUACCAAGGGCACUUAGGGUUGGAGGAGAUGCAAGACGCCGGCCUUGAGCAGAUUGAAUCGACGCCCCGUCAUUCGAAAAAACGAAUAUCAGCAUUGCUGUACGUUGUGCAUGCGCGUACACGGCAGGCAGUUGAGCAGGUACGCAGGUAGGCACGCGGCAAGGUAGGCCAGCAGGAAGCUAUGCAAGCACGGAAGCAGAGGCAAACCUCAAGGAUGUGUGUGUGAAGCCUGGUAAAUGACACUUGGGUAAAAAGUAUACAACACAUGUCCCAUCACAUGUAGCAUUGCUGUUACAUACCCUAUUGUGUCUCGCCUCUUACUUGCGCAAUCGGAUCAACCAACACAUAUAUUGAUCCGUCAGGAAGGCUUUAAAAUCGCGAACGACAGGAAAUGUACGCAUGCUUGCGUAAAUCACCCUUGCAUCGUGUCGUACCGUAUGAAUGGAUGGCCACUUUUCCCAGCAUACGGGUCCCACACCGUUGUUGUAUCCAUUCUUGCAGCGAGCCUAGCACAGCGCAACCUCCCAUCUGCACACGACUCGGAACGGUCCCUACACCGCGGCCAUAAUUCCUGAGGAAGCAAGCCUUAAGACCUACAGAUAAUGGUACCAUCCGGAUGGAAUGUGAUUCUCCUGGAAGCGGGAUUAGAAGCAGAGCUCGGUCAGUAGCAGGUCUCCGCAUUGAGUGAAGAGAUCAGUGAUGAAUGUUUCUAGUGGCUGCUGCUGCUGCUGCUACUGUUGUCGCAAGCCUGCUGUUGUUACUGCCGUUGCUGUAUGUACUGCGGGUAGUGCAGUACAUACAGACUGCGGCAUUGCGAUCGCUCGUCAGUCGUCGUCACCCGUUCGACGCCCGCCGACAUCCAGGGGAUGUGUGCAGCCGUAGACGACGCGCUCAACAGCGUAGGUGUACUUAACUAACAAUCUAGGAUUUGGAGCAGGCGGCCGGUUUUGGGGUUUGUGUCUGGAACUUCCAGAGGGUUUUCAAAGGCUGCAAGACGUCCGGCGGGAGUCUGGCAGACAUUAACCCGCCUUACAUUGAUCCCUUUGCUAUGGUUCUCUCCACCGCAUGAAAUACAUCAUCGAAAUCGCGCACAUCUAUCCUUUGAAGAAUCAGCAACUAAUUUUGCAAGUUAAGUCUCCUUAGAGCUCCUGCUGAGAGCAUAGCAAAUUAUUCCGCCUAAUUAAGUGCAACAAAUCGUGCUCAGGUUGCUUCGCUAAACGUGCAUCACGCAACGGCACCAGGAUUUAUACAACAGCCUGGCCUAUAAUCUCCUAUAAUUGCUUGCUAGGGUUGGCCAGCAGGAGUCGCUAGGGCAAGCUUGCAGGAAAGUCCUUGCUUUGACGCGAAAAAAGGUCCCUUGCAUUGCUUUCAAAGAAAUUGUAAUGAUCGCAGACGGGAGAAAGAACGCCAGCUGCGUAAAUUUGUAAGUGCACACGCAUGCACCAAGCGAUGGUGGAAACGUCGGAGCAGUUGCAGCAGCCCAAACUACGGAAGCCUGAUGAAACACAUAAUAAUUUUUUUCAUUUAUGAUAAAUUCUGAUAUUUAAUGAACGGAGCGUUGUCGUGUGAGCUAUGACACACCGCUCGCUUGAGGUAGGACAGCGCUAGCUAAACAGUCAGAGAUGCGACACAUCAGCUUGUCUUGCAGGGCAUUCUUGAUAAGCUGUACUUUUACAUAAGAGACAAUUUCAGGCGCGAGCAGUUCCUUGAACGUGAACAUUACAGCUUACCGCAGCAAACGAGCAUAUACUGCAGCAUGGUAAAUAUCUCAAACUGGCAAGAGGAGCUGCGAGUUCCCAACCAUUACCACUCUAUGCCUCUCUUAGAACCAAGUGGCUGCGCUUUCCCUCGGUAGGUCAUAACGACUAUACUAAAGCUAGAUAGUACACAACUGCACACUGGCUUUGAGCGCUGAGAAAGUCGAGACGAAGCAAGAGUGGACCGUAGUGCACAGAAACGGAUUAACCUCGUGCUGCCGCGACCACGUGGUCGCGUACAAGUCAGUGGUGCACCACUGACUUGUACCGGGCACCUGUCACCGGUACCGGAUACCUGGGUACAUGGGGACCGGAGCACCUGUUCCGCAGGAAUACCAAUCAAUCAGGACCUCUUCCGGAACGCAGGGAAAUGCAGUAUUAAGAAGUACAAUACAGUACAUCGUGCGCCUUGCAUGUUUUGCCCAGCACCCAACGCCAACCACGAAGCACCUGGGGCGACCGUUUCAAAACUGGUAGGAGGCUGGUAUCACAAAAAUGUACUGGUGUUAUCACUUGUCGUUAGUUGUUCACGGUUGUUCCUUGCGCUGUUCGAUCCGCCGCUGCGCAGAGCUAAGUGCCUCAUUCCGAACAUUCCGGACGAUCUGACAAGCGAGGCAGGCUUGGAUCUAAUCCGAUUUCCUACUUUAGUUGCUGAAAGCGUGUCAGAUCAAAUGUCUGUCAUCCGCCUUCGUUUAGCAGCGCUCGCCGUUCUUGCACUUGCCGGCAGUUCUGCUGUUGCCGUGGCCGACGCUGCACCAUCAGGCCAGUCACUGCCGCCGCCGCAGCUUGCCAAAAGCCCGAAUCCACAAGCUCGCAAGCCGCCCCUACGCCUUCGUUCCAGCCCGCCGCCGCCGCCGCCGCCGGCCCCCCGUCCUCCUUCCCCUCCGAAACCCAGCCCAUCCCAACGGCGGCCUCCGCGUAUCCGGCCCUCUAGCCCGCCAGCUCCACCACCUCCAAGUCCACGGACGCCGGCGCCAGGUACGGGUCUACCGUCCCGGCGUUGAGUCAGCUUGAAUCAUCCGGUGCGGAAAGGUUUAAAUAAACGAGCCCUUAUAGUACACCAGAUUACCCAGUUGCAAGGCCACCGCCGACCAACGUGGAAAUUAAACAGGACUGUACCCUGUCACAUACUCUUGGUUGUCGGGCAAUUAUUAUCCAUCGCCUUACGGUUCUGGAGCUAGCCGGCGUCCUGCUGAAAAGUAGUGUAAAUUUCCGUCCCUGCAGGGGCCCACUUGCUUCCCUAGGUCAGGUAGCAGGUGCUUACACAUGCGGUGUGCACGCACAUACAUACACGCAUCAUACAUACACACGCACACACACUGCGGGAAAAUCGAAAAACAUUCCCGGAGUGGUAUCGCACGUCGGUUUACCACUGCUCGUUCUUCCCACCUGUAGAUGUGGCCUGCUUGCGCAAGGGAUACAGCCGAAGCGAUGGCCCAAUGUGGUCGACUCCUUGCCCGCCCGGUUUCGAAAGCUACGGCCCGUUCUGCGUCCCCAAGUGCGCUGAUGGGUACACGGCAGCCGGGCCCAUGUGCUGGGACAGCGGUGUCCCGGCCGGUUAUCCCGUCCAGUGCAACACCGCCUCCUGGGGCCGGACUCAGGAGGAAUGCGAUGAGGUUGUAAGGGUGUUCGCGGCCGUGUCCAACAAGAUACAGCUGAGCAAUGAAGCGUGUGUGGGUGCCUUGAUUUCCAGGUCCCUAGGUUCCAACGGCGGGAUGUCGUCGUACCUGCUUGUGUCCAUGUGCCCUCCAUACAUUGUUGCAUUACCGUCGGAGGGGAUUUCCGCGGUCAUUACGUUGACCGCGUUCUCAGUAUGCCCUUAGUAAUUUAUCCAUUCACCUGAUGGUGGCGAAAUAAUGCGGCUAGGUGUCGGUUGGUCGCUUGAUUGGUUGGUCGGGUUCUGUCCACGAAGCGGCCGUAAUCCGCUGUGAGCCUCUUCUGGAUCAUCACCGUCGAUAUCAUGUGUAAUUCCUUUUCUACAGUAAAUUAGCCGCUGGGAGGCGGCACGCUGUCAAAUUGGCGGCAGCCCACCCUUCGAGCUAGGCCCUGAUCCGUACCGCCGAUAUACAACCCCACAACCGCGUGCCCGCUUACUGAGAGACUACUGUUCCCAGGCAUGAAAAUCAUGAUUCCAAAAGCGCGAAGCCAGUCCCCGAACGCUGCCGCAGAUCAUGUACGGAGGCUCUACCUGAAUCGGUUCUGGACCAUGAUGAAACCUGCCGCUGCCUCUGCUUGUUAGCAUGGAUAGGGGUUAUGUGACGAAGAUCAAAGAACACAGUAGGCUGGAUUUGGCUGAAGUGACGACAGAAUUAAACCAAAACGGAAUUGGACGAGUGCCGUAUGGGCUCCAAACUUUGUCUUUGCUGUCUCUGAAUAUAGCAUUUUUUAGACCUGCACUUAUGUAACGAUCUCGCAUUCUUCUGUGCUUUACUUUAAUAAUUUGGCGGCCUCCGUUAACCGGGGGUGGCGCUGGUGUGCAAGCUGCUUGGCACGAUCUCAUAUUUACUAGAGCUCAUUAGUCCUAAAUACAGUAUCUGACAUUGAACCCAACCAUCUGGGAAAUUUGCGGACUAAAGUGCAGGGGGCCCAUCCCGGCGCCAUGACAUCCAAUUUGACGGGACACGAUGGGGAAGGCCGGGUGAGUUCUACAUCGGCGUAAUAGCUGUGAUCUGGAGUAUACCUUGGGUAAAAGCGAUACGUGUCCCCGGCAUGUACGUUCGCGUUCGUCAUGUGCCUCCCCAGAUGCUGGACUCAUAAGUGAGAGGGCGCAUGAGCGCCCACUUGUCUGGUGCUCAACCUUAAGAUAUCUCACCUGUGUUAUGUUGAGCCCCAUCGUGAUUUAACUCGGGCGUGUAGCCUUGCACAAUUUUGCCACACUGUCCGUGUCUCUGUCCCGGAACCGUACCUGCACGAACUCGCUAUAUCCUAGCAGGACACAAUGAGCCGCAUGCAUAUCCGCUGCGUGUUUGAAAGCCUUUUUCCGUGCCCGCAUAACUGGACAGGAGUUUGCAUCUCCUGACGAGCUAUGGGCGGUAGAGGCGGACGAGGACGGGGGACACAAUAGCUGGUACGGAUGUUGUGUACGCUAAUGUCCUGGGAUUCCGCAGAUUUGUAUCCAGCAAGCGGCCUCAACGUUGUGUGUCUAUUGCGAUGGACUCUGAAGACCCAGCUAGCUUUGCUGACGUACAGAUAGGCAGGCGGGGCGAACAGACAGAGACGUACACAAGGAUACCGCCCCCUGGCAAGCCUCUUACUGUAGACAUUCCAUUAAGUACUAGAAGGGUGCAAUCCAACCUCGAUCUCGUUCGUAAACUGCAUCCAUGGUUUUGUUGCGGGGCGACCUGCCGUACGCCUCUCCCAGGUACCAGAAAGCUGUGUCGUACUGGGACCAGCAAGAAGCGUCGUACAACGGUGUCUUGGGCGGCUUUGGAUACACGUCGGACCUGGAUGUACGGGAUAGCCGGGCGCUAUUGCUGAAGGUGUGCGGGGGAGGUUGGGGUCAGACGGCUCUUUGGCGCCCAUAACAUCCACGCGUCGUAUUCACUGCUUGCACGCCUGUCUGUAUGUCUAUACCGCCUCAUCUCUCUGUCAACCAACCUCUCCCACCAGGCCAUGAGGGUCCAAUUGGAGGCUGCAGACAAGGGGACGAGAACGCUGACAGCGCUUGGUAAGAGAAUGAGCGAGGGGAGGGGCCAUAUGGAGGGAUGUGGGGAGGAGGAGCAAAUGGUAGGAAAAAGCAAACGCAAAGAGAGGCCGUGCAGCGUCAGUAAAAGGGAGCCCAGCUGUCCCUUUUGCUGGCUUAGGGGGAAAGCCCUUCCCCCCGUCCCCCUUGCUACGCUCGGCUGUGACCGUUGUCUUGUCUUCCUCCUUCCUCCUCACCUCCUCACCUCCUCCCGGGGUUCGCCCCUUACCCGCCCAGACUGCGGUGCCGGUGUGGGUAGAGUGACGGAGCAGCUGCUGCGACAUCACUUCCACUGUGUUGACCUGUUGGAACCUAGCAGGCACCUGCUCGAUACCGCAGGUGGGUGCGGAUGUGGGCUUGCGGAUAUGGGCUUACGGCAUUGACCUUGUUGUCUCAUCUGUUUGCUCCCCGUUGGCCUUCGUUCUUGUUCGUGGCCCUCAGCUAAGAACUUGUCGGCGCGGACGGUGCCUCAGCCGCGUGGGAAAGCGGGGCAGUUCUUUUGCUCCGGCCUGCAGGUACGGAGGUACACCCGCCCAUUUUGCGCUUUGCGCGGUGUGUGUGUGUGCGUGUGUGUGCUCGCUAGGUCUGUAUGUAAAAGGUCAUGUUGCAUUUUUAAAUAUUUGUCUCUGCUUUGCGAGUUGCAACCUGUUAUUACACAGCAGUGUGUGACGCAGAUUGCAACCUGUGGUGUGACUCGCCGCAGGAGCACACGUUCGAGCCCGGCAGGUGAGAGGAUGAGGGUGCUGUGCGGUGGGGGGUUACCAGGGGAAAUGGUUGUGGUCGGUCGCGGCUUUACGUCCUGGCCGGAGCCCGGGGAUCCUUUCCUUUUGUAAUAUGUGUAUCGGCUGAGGGACCAGGGCAGGCAGGGCACGACAACCUGGAUGAGUCCUCGCGCCUUUCUUUACCCUUUCUUCUCGUCCUAAGACCGCGUAUCUGUUGUCAAGUGUUCGUACAUGGUCCCUGUCGAUCCAGGUACGACGCGAUUUGGAUCCAGUGGUGUCUGCUGUACCUGACGGAUGGUAGGUAAGAGGAAUCCAGGGAGGAAGACUGGGAAGCUGACGACCGCCGUUUCUUUCCCAUCCUUCCUGCCGUUCUUUCCGCAUCUAUCUACAGGUUCCCCGCCUGUAUGAAGCCCUGUCGUGUUCUGUUCUGUUCUGCGCUCUGCUGUAGUUGACUUCGUGUCGCUGUUCCAACGUGCCGUUGCUGGGUUGAAGCCCGAUGGUCUUAUCUUCGUCAAGGAGAACAUCUGCAAGUGAGGAGGGCGGGCAGUGGGUGGGCAGCUGCUGUGGGAACUGCUCCUAGCGCUUCUAGGUCAUCCUUUCAGUUGGCCUCAGUUGGCGGUGUGGGUUGCCUUUGCGCUUUGCCUCGCUGCCCGUUAUCAAAGGGCGGAUGGGGCCGAGCGGCCGCUGCCGUGGCGAUGAAACUCCUGAAAUUGAAGGAGGGCGGCAGGUUCGGGGCCCGCAUGUCACGGCAUGGGCCCGCAUCGCGGUGAAAAAGCGGGUUGGCUCCCCGGUGUGCUAGUGAUGUGUUUUCCACGCGGUGCGUGGCAGGCACGUAGACAUGUGCUUGUGCUUCGAGCAAGCGUGGUUCUGCUGCUGUGGGUCCGGUGUCUUCUGUCCCUAAGUGGCGCUGGGGUUCUUUGAAGUCCACACCCUGCCCUGCCCUUCGGGUGUUUCCGUCCUGUGAUUGCCGCUAACGGUUAUCGACGUGUGGAUGCUGCAACUGGUUUAGCUCCACGCGCUGGAAAGCCCGUUAAGCAACGAGACAUGCGCUGAACUUGGAAGGCGCGACCACGCUCCGUAUUGCGUUGACUCUUAAUCCUUGUAGCUGACUUAGAACUAAUAACUCAAGCUGAUUUGUGCGCAAGCAAUCACCCAUUGGAAAAGUGGACGGAGUCGGCAUCUUUUGAAACUGAGUUCGCUAACUAGGCUCGCACCGCGACAAAACCUAUUGCGAUAUUCAGGAACAAAGCAGAGAAAUGGUAUGGAAGCUGAGAUGAACGCGAUGAGGCAGUCUUCGGCAUAAUGUAUGUUGCAUCAGUUGCAUGCCGCGACCCCAUUAUGCCAGAGCUUGAGAUCCCAUGUCCUCAUGGGGACUAAUAAAAAGAAAAUUUGUCAGUGUAUGUCGGUUUCCGCAUGCGGGGAACAGGGCUGCGCCUUUCCGCAAGCUUCAGGGAAUCAAACCCCUUUGCGCUCCUACUGUGACAGGGAGGGCUUUGUCCUAGACAAGGAGGACUCGUCCUUGACUCGCAGCAACGCCUUCAUGCUCGAACUCUUUCAGCGGGCAGGUGUGCAGGUGGGUCGAGCUGCAAAUACCGCUCUGCAUCACCGCAUUGCCUUAGGCAUCUUGUCUGAGAGGAUAUGUUCCUCCAGUGGGUGUGGGAGACCGCCGGAUUGUCCGUACGGGAGAGACCGCCGGGCGAGUCGGUAUAAUUGCGGCUGUGCCCGGCUGCCAACUGCCGGCUGUUCUGUUACGCCGUGCAGGUGCUGUACAACGUAAAGCAACGCAACUGGCCCAAAGAGCUUUUUGAAGUGCGUAUGUACGUUGUCAAACCUCGGACGGCGCAGCAAAAUCAGCAGAAUGAACGACAUCAAGAGCAAUAACAAGAGCAGGGUGCACACGAUGGAAUGACCGACCACCACCAGUGCAAUGGAAAGGUGUCACAGGGGGUUGGGGGUGCGAUGAUUGGGGGGCCAAUGGUGACAUAAGGAGGGGUUCCCGACGAUUUCCAGCAGAUGAGGACGGUCAGUGCUGUCGUUAGGCUGCGUGUGACCACAAAAACACAGGCAUGAGUAAUGGGCAAUAUGCACGCCGGCGAAACCUGUGCCCCCGGGUGAUGAAGGUGAUAUUCGAAUGUUGGACUAGAGUUUGGUGCAGGGUGAAACAGCGAGUGUGCAUGCGGAUGGCGUUGCCAGGGGGGACGAAUUCGCACAAGGCAGGUGGUGUUGAAAAACACCGGUUAGAUACCAACGGGUAUCGAGGGGAAAACAUAGACUGCAGUCAAGAGUCAGCUGGGACCUUAAGCCUUCUUGGCGGCCUUGGCCUUCGGCUUAGCGGCAGCCUUCGGCUUGGCAGCGGCCUUCGGCUUAGCGGCAGCCUUGGCCUUCUUGGGCGUCGCAGCCUUGGCCUUCUUGGGGGUGGCGGCCUUGGCCUUCUUCGGCGCAGCAGCCUUCUUGGGGGCAGCAGCCUUCUUGGGGGUGGCCUUCUUAGCAGCUGGCUUCUUCGCCGCGGGCUUCUUGGCGGCCGGCUUCUUUGCUGCCUUGGGCUUCUUCGCGGCCUUAGGUUUUUUCUCGGUCUUCGGCUUAGCUGCCUUCUUCUCCGACUUGGGCUUGACGGCCUUCUUCUCGCCCUCCUUCUUGGGGGCCUGCAAGAGGAUUAGGUAAUGGAGAUGAGCGUUCGGAACUGGAAAAUCUACGGAACGACGCUAGCGGAAACCAAGCUCGCAAUUCGCGAACCGCGGAAUAGAACAGCAAAUCCGCUCACCUUCGCCUUCUUCGGCGCAGCUGCCUUCUUGGGUGCAGCGGCCUUCUUAGGGGCAGCCUUGGGUUUAGCCGCGGCCUUUGCCUUGCUCUUCUGGGCCUGUACCAGCCACGUAAAAAAAAGUCUUAGACAUAAAGUAAAUUGUAAACUUAUUGGUCAAACUCAAGAACAGGAGCACCGUCUGCCACCUACGUCAGAGAGCUUGUAGCUGUUCUUGACCUUCACGAGCUUGCCGUUCUUGACGAACGUCUUCAGCGCCAGAGACAGCGUCUUCGGGAACUUCUUGUCGUGAAUGUCCUGCAGGAAGUUUCGGCGACAAGGGUCAGCGCCCGCCAGGAACGUAGCAUCGGUAGGUCCUGAAGGUCUACUUCCAGGCGCCAUUAAACAGACGUCAUCCGCAAGCUCGGAGAUAACCAACUACAAGCACAGUCCUAAUUUCUACUGCACAAUAUUCACAUUUUGCGACGCAUACCUUCCCGUAUUUCGCCUCAAUGAACUUCUUGAGGGCCGGAAGGGAGGACCCGUCGCGCUCCUUAAGGCUGAGGAUGGCGUCCGUAACCAUCUGAAUGUAUGGUGGGUGGGUAGGAGCCGUCUUGGGCUUCUUCUGAGUCUUGGCCUUAGGGGCCUUAACUUCAGGAGCGUCGCUUGCCAUGGUCAAGGAAGUGGAAAAGAUACUGAGAGUGGAAGUUGCCGAAAGAGUUGUAGAGGAGUUUAAUUACAAUAGUCACAAUAGUGUUAGUAGUGGCUGGAGGUUGGCGUUUUAUGUGUGUUGACUUGACAAAGUGACCGUUGGUGGCCCGGUGACCCGCUGACCCGCUGUACGAGUCCGUUGGGACGAUACACCGUCGCCCCGUCGAAUCGCCGUCGACCGUGCGGUCGUGCAAGCUGCCACGCGCCGUAUCAGUUACCACACCCCUUAACCAAACAAGCCCUGAAUGACCUGUUGCCUGUCUUUCAUUGUCGCCUGACGGCGUGCCGCCAACGUGACCGUUCGAAAGCCUCCAGCUAGGAAAAAAUUAUAUUCCGAAAGCAAAACCGUUUUCCAACGCCACAAUAUUACAAAGUACUGUUAAAAAUUAAAAAACGAGUCGCAUUUAUUUGCAACAGUCUCCUGCCUGCGCUCGUAAAGCGGCGCCUCGCGGGUGGGUCAAAAGCACAGUCCUGUCCCAGAAGAAGAAUUGAAACAAGUAGCCCAACAAACAAGCAGAUAAUUCGAAACUACUUAUCAUUUGUUCGCUUAGCUUUAAAGCUAAUCGCUGUUUCGUGGGUUCCCUCGGCGCGCUGUUUCACGGACGCCGACCCCACCGCCGCGGCCGCGCCUCUCCUCGCGGCUGCGCCAUGCGUUACCUCCACGAGCUCCCGCAGCACAUCCUCCUUCUCACCGUGCUUAGCUUGCAAUGCAACCUGCAGCUGCCAUGCGCGCUGUUGCAGCGCCUCAUACUGCGCGUUAACCUCGGCCGCCUCGGCCAUCGCCUCAGCCGCUUUCUUCCGCAUAUUCUCCGCCUCAAACUGCGCCUGACGCAACCGCUCUUCCAUCGACUCGUCAUGGCGAAUCAUGUCGGCGUACUUGGCCUGCGGGGUGCACAGCGGGGGGACAAUAAAACACACACGCAUAUUAUAUGGCAUUUUCCACUACUGAAGUCACAUGGCUCUGGAUCCAGGUAUGUGCUCACGUACAGACCGACAGACGUACAUUCCGGCAUGUGUGUUUCCCGCCAUCCCGCCCUCGCCAGUCAGCACGUCACCGGCAAUCAAGACAUGGGCCCCACCUCUCCAGGGAUUGCACGCGGCCCCAGCCAUUAUUAUUGCAUUGCGUAGAACAAAGCAUUUCCGGUGUUCGAAGCACUUGCGGCGUCCCCGCCACCCUUUCCACAGCCGGGUACGGUGCCCCCCAACUCCCUUGGCAGCAGGUGGGGGUCGUCGACCUGAGCCUGCCCGUCCAUCUCCCCCUCUACCCUCCCGGCGCCCCCCCUGUGUCCCGUAUACCACCCCCCGCCGUGCUCCCCCGACUCCUCCCUCCUUACCCUCACACACACCGGCAGUUCACUUCCCACUUCCUCGCAUAUGGUGCCCCUCACCCUCACCCUCACCCUCACCCUCAUCCCACCACAGCACACAAUCAAAAGCAGCAGUGUCACGCAAUUGUAUCGCAGGAAAACACGGCCAUGAACACAAACACGAUGCGGUAGGGUAGUGUGGCCAAAUUAGGAUAUACGGCAGCGAAGCAAGAGCGUUGCAAAGUCAUGGGGCAACGUGUUGUUGCUGGAGUUUUCUCCUGUUUAUAAUAACCGCCAGAUAUUGCCUUUCUCCGCAUUUUGAUUUUUCGUCCGCAUUGGCGGACGAGGUGCGUCUGCAAGGAUGGGUCAUCUCUCCACUCUCGAAGACCUCCCUCAGCGUCGGAGCUCCUGUCCGCGACCCGGCUUGACACCUCUCUCCGGCUAGUAGUGGCCCAAAACGGACCAUAACAUACACACAUACAGACUCAAAGCCGCACAUGCAGAUUUCCACAAGAUAUAUACACACAUACAUACACACACACCUGCACAACCUCUCUUUUCCCUCAGCUAGGCACCGAUGCGCGCGGAACCCACAAACUCACUCUUCUCGUCCCCCUCCUUCGCCGGAUGCACAGACAGACGGACAGACGGACUCAAACGUUUUAGUCGAUGGCAGCCAGUUUCCCCCAUAACCCCCUUGCAGACACAGGUACACAGACCCAUCACAGAGGCACACAAAUCAUGAAUACACGCACACUACGCACGCACAUACAUACAAACACACAAACACACAUGGAGAAAUAGUACCGACCUGCGAUUCCAGCAUCUCCUGCUCCACCGUCACAGCCCGUUCACGUGCCGCCUCCGCCACCGCUAGGGCUGCCUCCGCAUCCCCGCGCAGCCGCAUCGCCUCACGCCGCUCUGCCGCGACCUCUGCCUGCAGCUCCUCGCAGCGCAGCGCCGCAGCCUCCGCCGCCGCUGCAGCCGCCUCGGCGCGCACACGUGCCUCCCGCGCGGCGUCCUGGUCCCGCAACCCUUCCGCCUCCAAAUCGUCGCAGCGGCGCUUCAGCUCCGAAAUCUUCUGCGUCGCCGCUGCAGCCUGGGCCUCGUAAUGGCGCCGCUGGCUGUGUGCGGACGCCAGGUCGGUUUCCAGCUCAGCAGCUCGUUUCUGCGACCUGUACGCGACGAGGGCAAUGAAGAGGCAAGGCAAUAGGAGCAAGAGGCAAGAGGCAAGAGGCAAGCAAGGAAUAAGCGCAGGGGAUGGCAUGCGCGCCUGGUCAGGCAGGAAGGAAGGCUGGAGGUUGUAGAGAAAAGAAAGAGAGCAGAGAAGGAGAAGAGCCUCCAAAGCUCCAUUCCGUCUUCCCCAGCAGCUCUGCUCCUUUUCCCCCUGCAGAGAAAAGACCCCUUCAGGUUGCUUUGCAGGUCUUGCUCUUCCUACGAUAAUUCCUAGCUCCAUUCCAGCCUUCACAUCUGCCUUACCUCUCCGCUUUCCGUUUGGCUGUCUCCGCCACCAAUCUCGCCUCCUGGAGUUGCUCCACAGCGGUAUCCAAAUCCCGCCGCAGCGCCAUCAGAGCCGCCUCCGCCGCCACCGCGCGCCGGCCGUCGCGCACCGCAGCUGCCGCCGCCGCCGUAGCCGCUUUAGCUGCAGCGGUCGCCGCCAUGCGCUGCUCCGCCGCCUCCCGCGCCGCCGCCUCUCCCGCCGUCCGUACCUCCGACAUGGCUGCCCUGACUGCCACCAGCUCCUUAUCAUCCCGAGCCAGCUGGGCCUUAAGCACCGCCAGGCUCUGAAUGGGCUCCUGUGGGGCCAGCGAAAAGUCGGGAAAGAAUAUAGAUGAAAGCGCGGCAGUACAUGUGGAGGCAUGUUUAAUGGGCCCGCCCUCCGCCCCUCCGCCUCUCCGCCCUCUUCCUCACUCGCCUGUCCACCCUUGGACAGAGUCGACAAUAGCUGCGUCACCAGACCCUCUAGAGCACCCAGCAGCGCCGGCGUCGCAUCCCCAGCCGCCUCCGCCGCCACCGCCUCCGCCGCGUCCAACGCGCCGUCCACUUUAUCCAGCAGCGCGGCCAGCACACGCUCCAGAGACCCCUCCACCAGCCCAAACCAAUGCACGUGGUUCCCGCUGCUGCUGCCGCUGCCAGCAGCGGCAGCAGCGGCGGUGCCGCUGUCCGUAAUCGGCAGGGGCGGCGGCGGCGCAGCCGCAGCAACCGCGGCAGCAUCCUCAAGCAGCGCGAUUCGUCGUCCAAUAGCAUCGGCUGCUUUGUCCAUAGCUUGUAGCAGCGGUUGUGUGGCGGCUAUGUGGGCUCGUAAGCGGUCUCGUUCCGCAGUGAGGGGUACGAGGCGCGCCUCUGCGGCGGAGGCGGCGGUCUGGGCCUCGUCCAGCGCCUGGGAGACCUCCGCCAGCCUUACGGAUGCAUUCGGGUGUGUGUGUGUGACGACCGACCCAUGGGUCAAGAGUGCAGGGAAGCUCGGGGCGAUUUUUGGGUUAACGCACACACAAAGACAACAAUACAAGAGUUCGUCCAAAACAUGAAGAUAAGGACCAAGGUUUGGUUGAGAGGGAGGGAGAGAUGGGUCUUUGGGAGGAGAGGAAAAGGAAAAGAAAGCCGCGAACCGAAGCAGGGGGAGACAAAAGCUCAUGAAGCACCGCACGUUUCGCCACAAGUUAACAACGCACACACGCAGCACAUCCGACAUGACACGUCCGCCGCCACGCACCUGCUCUCCAGUACCGCCACGCGCUCGCCUCGCGCCGCGGCCUCCGCCUCCGCCGCACCCGCCUGGCGAAUGGCGGCAUCCAGCUGGGCGGCAGUGGCUCCGUGCGCCUCCGCCACCGCCAUCCGGGCAGCUCUCCGCUCCUCCACCAGCUCCCCACUGAGCGCUUUGACGCGGGACUCCAGGGAGGCCGCCUCGAUGGAUUUGAAACGCAGCUGCUGCUCCAGGGUGGCGAUUCUGGGAAAGCGCCCAAGAAGGGAAUGGGAUGGAUCGUGGGUGUGCGGGGUGUGCGGGGGUUGGGGAGAGAUGGGGGAGGAUGGAGGCAGGGAAGUCAAGCACGGGUUGUGUAAAUAUAGUGGGUGGUGGGUGGAAAGGGGUUCGUUAUUGGGCGGAGAUAUUGUAAGGUUCAGAGACACACACACACACACACUCUCUCUCUCUCUCUCUCCAGCCUCGAAACGAAGGGACUGAGGGGUCGCGCCGGCUGGACUCUCACCCCCCGUGUUCCCCUUCCUACUCGCAAAUUGCUCCCUUUUGCCGCCAUAACACAUAAACGUACCUACGUCUAUCCCUCGUCAAGGGAGCAGUUGCACCUGUGAGGCCACUGCUCUUCAUGUGUCCCUUCAUUUCCGUCACAUACUGGCAGCGGCUCAGAUCAGUAAAACACGUGCACACACGUGUGCGCACGUGCACCCGCACACAUACAUACACGUACACACGGUCUUAUGUCCGCUCUUCUUCCCCUUCUUCUCCUCCUCCGCCCCCAACCCAACCUGUCUCUGAGCUCCGCCAGCUUCCUGUCCCGCUCCUCACACAGCCCCGUGGCAUCCGCCAGCUCCUUCAGCGUAUCCCGGUACUUGCGCUCAACCACCUCCAUGUGCCGUACCCAGGCCUUGUAACCCACCAGGUCCGCCUCCAGAGCCACACGCUGGUCCCUGAAGAGGGUGCCGUGGGGAGAAGGGGGCGAGAAGGGGGGAAAUUACUUGCUGUGCAAAAGCCAAAGAGCAACUGGCGCGACCUCCAAAGGCAGGAAAGAGGAGACAAGGUGAUGGGGCACAUGGGUUCCGGGAAGUGACGACUGCGGGGGAUGGCCGGAGAGGAGAGGAGAGGAGAGGAGAGGAGAGGAGAGGAGAGGAGAGGAGAGGAGAGGAGAGGAGAGGAGAGGAGAGGAGAGGAGAGGAGAGGAGAGGAGAGGAGAGGAGAGGAGAGGAGAGGAGAGGAGAGGAGAGGAGAGGAGAGGAGAGGAGAGGAGAGGAGAGGAGAGGAGAGGAGAGGAGAGGAGAGGAGAGGAGAGGAGAGGAGAGGAGAGGAGAGGAGAGGCGAGGAGAGGAGAGGANNNNNNNNNNNNNNNNNNNNNNNNNNNNNNNNNNNNNNNNNNNNNNNNNNGUCCAGAGCUAUGUCCUUAGCCUGGGGGGGCCCCGGAGGCGGACAUUUGAGUACGUAUAUAUAUGUAUGUAUGUUGGGGGGAAAGGAACGAGGCGUUACACAGCUAUGCAGUGGCACAGUUACACACCCACCUUCCAGUACUCCCCUUCCAGCAGCUUCUGUGCGUCCUGCGCCUCCCUGAGCUGCUGUGUCACCACCGACAGCUGGGCCUCCACACUCUCCAGCCGGGACUCCGCAGUCUCCGCACGCUGCUUGCAAUUCUGAGAGGAAAGGGGGGGCGGGGGAGGGGGCGGUUUGGGGGUUGUGUAAGACGAACCACGAACGAGUGAAGCUGAUGAUGCCAAGGAAAGACUGAUGAGGCUUGGCGGGUACAGGAGCGGGGGAACACCACAAGAUGCGGAUGAUAGAGCAGCUAAAAAUGGACCGAGGCCAGGGGGCGGGCGGAGGGACGGGCAUGCAGGAGUAGGAAUACUAGGCUAGCUGCUUAUAGGCUUCCUGAUAGCCAUUUUACUACUGGUUUCGUGCACAUUCGUGGCCAGCAAAGAGCCGCAAAAGUGCAGCCGGCCUAAUCCAAUUCCUCAAAACACACCCACACACCCACACUCAUGCCGACACACUUUCCGUACUUCUCAACAACCAUGGCUUUAAAGCAAAAGCCGUUACCUCACCUUACGGCCCCCCAGCACCCCCUUAUUUCCCUCCUCUCCAAAAACGUGCACACGUACAUACAUACAUACAUACAUACAUACAUACAUACACAGACAAAUAUACGCUCACACAUACUCACCGUCAUAGUUGUCGACAUCUCCUUGAACUUUAUCUCGUAGCCCCUCACCGCCUGUCGCAGUGCGUCCGCUGUGGGUCGGAGGGUGGUUAGCUCCAGGUUGGCGGCAUCCAACUGCCGACUAACGGUUUCCAACUUCUGGCGAACCUGGGAAAAGGUGGCGGUCUGGAAAGGAGGGCGAAAACAAUAACACUCGUGAGUAUCGGCAGAGAAUACGGCGGGGUGCGGGGAUGUACGGCGAGGUAGGGAGAGGUAGGGCGAGAUGUACGAGGACGGAAAUGAGAGAAGGACGUUUGGGGUGUAAGAGAUGACAGCAGCAGCAGCAGCAGCAGCAGCAGCAGCAACAAACGAUACCAAACACGAAGGCAUCCGUAGAUAUAACACAACAUACACAAAAAGCAAAACACACGCGCACAUCCACGCACCUGCUCCUUGCGCUUCAGCAGCCCCUCCGACCACUCAAUCAAGCGCUCAGCUGAAUCCGCCAGCCGGUCGAAAGUGCGGUCCAGCGCCACGAGCUGAUGAGAGCACUCCACACCGUCAGCGCCUCUGCCGACGCCCACCAUCUGCGCCAGCCGGCCCGCUGCCACCGUCAUGCCGUCGUCGCCGAGGUCGAUGUCGCCAUCAUUGCCUUCCAUGCCGGCGUCGCCGCCACCGUCGCCGGCGGCGUCGCCUUCCGCACCUUCCGGCUGCUGCAGAGCCUCUCCGUCAGCGGCGGCAGCGGGAGAGUUGGCAAUAGCGGAUGGCUGGGAGGUGAGCGACAUCGCCGACGGCUCGGGUGAUGCCGCGGCGGCGGCGGUCGACGUCUCAGCAGAUACCGUACCGCUGCGCAACGGUUCUGGCAGUGCCGGCGCCGCGCUGGGUUCCGCCGACGGGCUCUCGCCGCCGCCGUCACCGGGUGCUGGUUCCGCCACUCCCUCCACUGCUAGCGCCGGCGGCAUCGACGACGCGGACUGCAGAUUCGAGCAGUCUGACCGUACAGAAACGAUACUCCGCUCCGGCGACGCAGGCAUCGACGCCGACGUUGUCGCCGUCAGCUGCCCCGACUCGCUGAUCUCCGCGCCGGCCUGGCGCGCAGCGGCAGCUGCAGCACGGCGCGCCUCACGCGCCGCCCGCCGCUUGCGGCGGUCCUGCUCCAACCUGAGUGUACGGCAGGUUUCCCAAUCUCGCGCCAUCAGAUUCUCCAUUUGCCCCAGCAGCGCCGACAUGGCCUUAUUCAGUACCGCUAGCCACUUGUCGCGGGCUUCGACGGCGGCGCGAAGCUCCGCUACCUCCGCCAGCGAGGCGGACACAGCCGACUCAGCGGAAGCGGCGGCGGCCCCGAAGGGGCCGCCGCUGCCGCCCGCGCCCUCUCCACCGCCGCCAGAGAGCAGCUGCUGUUCCUUGCUCAGCACUGCCGCCAGCCUGGCCUGUGUGACCUGGUCCACGAGCGCCACUACCUGGGAGUUCAGGUGGGCUACUCGGCGGUGGCAGGAGCGGGCGAAGCGGCGCAGCGCCAGGACCUGGCCCUCCGGUAGCAGCGCCAGCAAAUCCGGCGGGAGCUGAGGGCCGAGCAACGGAAGGGUAUCAUCAGCAGGCGGAAGGGUGACGGACGGGUGGGGAUGGGGGCCCCCGGAGGGCGUAUACACGCAUAUUGGACAUAAAAGGGGAGGUCUAAACAGACAGACAGACAGACAGACAGACAGUGGCAGGAGGCAACCUGGCAACCCCACCACCCCGUACCCCGUACACCCGCACCUCCAGUUCGUGGCUGUUAGCCUCUGCCCGCCGCUCCUCAAGCUCCUGCAAUAAGGCCUUCGUGUCCGCCGCCGCCGCUCGCAGCACAUCAGCUUCCGCCCUGUCCGCCUCCGCCUGCUCCCGGUCCCGAGCCGCUUCCUCCCGGCACCUGGCCGCCUCCUCCUCCGCCUCCUUCAGGCGGGUCAUCAACGGCCAGUAGCUGCGAACCAACUCCGAGUUCUUGAGGGUGAGUCUGCACAUGAAGGUGGGGGGGGGAGGGAAGGCGCGAGGAGGGGGGGUUGCGGUGUACGGGUGGAGGAGCUCAAACAGGUUCAGGAACGGAGGCUGCAUGUGAACGGAGGAAUGUGAGGCACGGGGAUUGGUAUGUAUGGGAUGCCGGGUGUGCUUGUGUGUGUAUUUGUGUUUGCGAGGUGUGUGCACACCGCAUGUGCGGCCAUGUAGCGCACGUCUGCCCCCUGCCCUCAUCCCCCCAUUCCCACUCCCCCAAACCCCAAGAAAAUACCACCCGCAAAAUCCUCCUCUUCCUCCUCCUCCUCACUUUCGGUUCCUCUCCUCCAGGUCCUCCAUCGCCAUUCGCCCCGCCUCGAACUUGGCCCUGAACUUGUCAGCGAUGCGGUCGCUGGCGGCCGCCGCGUCGUCAGCCCUGGCCACCGCCGCCUUCAUGUCCGCCACCUCCGCACGCAGGGACUCAUUCACGGCGCUGCGCCGCCCAGAUCCAGAUCCAAAUCCAGAUCCAAGGGUUUUGCGGGGUUUGCGGGGGCCCAGGGGAAAAGGGAUAUGCAACAAGUCGCAUGAAAGAAGUCAGGGAAAGAGGCAGGUGGGCGGGGAGAUCAACGGUGAAGGGAGGACGUACCGUUGCUCGUCCAGCUCGUGCAUCUUGACCACGAAGUUAGCGUGCAUCAGGUUGAAGGCCCUCGUCUUGUCCGACAACAGCCGACCCAGCUCGUCCGGAUCCAGUAGAGACAGAUCAGCCAUCAUGCCCUCCGUCGUACUGUAUGGGGCGACGUUGCCGCUGUUGCCGGCGGAGGGGAGAGUGGCGGUGGCGGCUGCGGUAGCGCCGCCGCCGCCGCCGCCGCCACCGCCACCGCUCGGCGGUGUUCCCGGGGACGCGACGCCGUCGGCGGUGGGACCACGUGUUGUAGCCCCGCCGCUGACGCUGCCGGGCCCCAACGCGCGAGAGGACGUUCCCGCCAGGCCGGCAGUAGUGGCUGCGGUGGCGCUGUUACCGCCGACGGUAAGAGUGCCGCUGGCGCCGGCGGUCGUGGGGGAGGCGGCGGCGCUGCCUGCGCCGCCAGCAGUGGCGCCGGCGGCGCCGGGGUCGCUGGGCUCCGGAGUGUUGCCGGAUAGGAGUCCCAGUACGGCAGCACGGCGACGGUUGAGAUUACGAACCGUCUCCUGCAGCUCCCCGCACAUGCGUUCCAGCUCUUUGAUCUGUUAGGGCGGCAGUUACAGUGGACACGAAUGACUGCCUGACGUGAUGUUGUUUUCUUCCUGUCUUGUGGGGCCCCCCCAAAAGCCACCACAUCGAACAAGGAACACCAGCCUGCAGUACGGCACCCCUAACCCGUCCCAAAAAUCAACUGCGACGCGCUCCCAAUUCCCCCCAAACCAAUAAAACGUUGCGCAUCGGGGCAUCGAUCUGCGUCUUUCCUUCAGCCAUUAAACCCUAAAACUCUAAAACCCUAAAACAGAAACCCGUCUACAUCCACCCCCUAAGCCAACCACAAUGGAUCCCCAGCUCUGAAGGAAAGGACCCCAACCCGCAGCCCUUAUCCCUGCCCGCAGCCCCCAAGGACCCCCCAUUUCCCAACUCACUAAAUCCUAAACCCAACCUCACCUGGAAGAACUGCGCGGACAGUGUGGCAUUCUGUUCCGACACGAUGGCCUUGAGGUCGUGCAGGUGCGCCUCCGCCGCCACCGCCCUCGCCUCCGCCGCCUGGGUAGCGGCCUUGGCGGCAUCCAGCUGCCGCUCCAGGGUGGCUACCUGUACGGCGUGUCGGGCCAUGUGCGUCACCAGCUGCUCGUUGGCGUUGUGGAGGGUGUAGACCUCGCCUGGGGGUUGGGGGGAAGGGCGGGGGAGGAGGUCCAACGGGGUUUGGGAUGUUCGGUUGGAAGGUGGGUUGGCGGUUAAGGAUCAAGGGUGAAGAGAAAGGUUUUGACGCGAUAGCAGGGCAAGAGGCCAGAAUUCCCCAUCCCAAAGCAUUAAGUAGAGGAGCGCGAAGGGAAAGGAGGUCCAUCUUCCCCCUCUCCCUUACCCCCGUUCCCUCCUCCCCCCAGCCACUCACCCUCCAGCUUCGUGGUCGCCUGCUGCAGGUGUCUGCUGGCCAGCAUGUUGUCCACGUUCUGCUUCAUGAAGUCCUCCAACCGCGAUUGCAGCUCCUGCUUCUCCCGCUUGAGCGCCUCCAGCUCCACAGCCCCGCGGUCCAGAGCUUGAAGGGCCGCGUUCUUGUCCGCCAACAUGGAGCUCAUCUCGCUGUCAAACACGAUCUAAGGGGGGUGGUUGGGAGUUGGGAGUUGGAGGAGGGCGGUAGGUUGGGGGAGGACUGGGCACUUAGUGGGGGCUCGGCUUUGCGGUAAUACAAACUAAACGAAAGAAAUAGCGGUUGUGACGUUCAAAACAUUAGAACCGCUAAACAAUACAGAAUUGAAUAGGCUGUGCGGUGCUUAAUUUAUACUAUUUUAACGUGAAUAAAAAACAUUAUAUUGACGCAAAACAAUUUUAAAAGAACCGUCGCACACAGGCUCCUGGUUGUAUUGUAUUUUUCCUUGUAUUUUCUCUGAGGCGGUGAGAGGGGCGAACCCCACGACGAGCGCUUUUCCUCCUGGUUAAGCGAGAGCCUUGCGUAGCGAGGCAGACGUGAUUUCUACUCUUUUACACACACACACACACACACACACACACACACACACACACACACCUCUUCCCGGCCCCGGACUUCAGCAGGAAGCACCCCCACCCACCAUGAGCGCCUCGUCCCACAGCGCCGCGAACGACCUGAACACGUUCUCCAGCAGCUCCUGCCGCAGGCUGGUGCCCGCCGCCAGCCCCACCGCCGCGCCGCUGUUGCGGUCCGAUACGGCAAUGUCCAGCAGCGCCUCCACGUCUGUGAAGAACCCCACACUGUACGAGUACAACAGCCGGUAGAGAGAGAUGAUGUCGCGUUCCUUGGAAGGCAAAGGGGGUUCGGUUGGGUGGUUGGGUGGUUAGGUGGUUGGGUCGUUGGAUUUGGAUGGUAAAGCAGUUAGAUGGGUUUGUAUGUUUGUUGGGCCCAAGAUAAAGAUUGGUGAGAGGUUUGUGGUGGAGUGAGUGAGUGAGUGAGUGAGUGAGUGCGAGGAGUGUGCGUGGAGUGUGCGUGGAGUGAUUUCCUGCAUGGUGAAGCUGAAGAGCUGGAACCCUCUCCGACCAAGCCAUCCGUUUGUACAAAACAACGAAGUGAUGACACAACGACAACUGCCAACGACGACAACAACAACAACGAACACAACUAACCAACACACAUACGAGCCACAUUUCAAUGCAUACGUUAAAGCCAUAACCUUUGAUGGCAAGACCAUGAGACAAAAGUACGUAUAAAUCAUGUGCCGUAAACUUUGUACGUAUAAAUUAUGUGUGUAAAUCGUGUGUCGUAAGGCUCCGUCUUCUCCGCGCCUGUAAACAAUUGCAUAUUUUCACUUCUGCAGUUCAUUUCUGAUUUCCCCACAUGCAUAUGUUCUCCCCCGGCCCCCCACACACACACCUGCAUUCGGUAGCGGUUCUUGAGUGCCUCCGGCCCUAGCGGCCCCCUCAGCAGCCGCUGUUGUAUCUCCGGAUGGCCCCAGGUGCCGUCCGCGCGGAGAUCCCACUCGCCCAUACCCGCAGCGAUGCUCUUUUGAAGCGCCGCCGAGAGGUCCGCCAGCGUGCCGGCGGCGGCGUUGCGGCCGCGGGGCCGGCUAAGCAAGCUGGCGUUAAGGCUGCUGCUGGCGAUGGUGUUGGUGGUACCGGGCCGGGAGGUGACGGCAGAGGCGGGGGCCUGGCCGGAGAGGGAGGUGGCGGCGGUGCCGCCGCCGCCGAGGGAUCGCGAAGGCGCACGCAACUGUUGGCCUGGCGGCGGCGGCGGCGGCGCCACUGCCGCGGUAGCUGCUGACGGGGGAGGAGGAGGGAGAAGGAGGCUGGUUGGGGCGGUGAGCAGCGGCCCAGCGGCCGCGCCAGAGCUGGCGGCAGGGGGCCGGCGGGCGCCGGGGCUGCCGCCGCCGCCCCCACCGCCGCCACCGCCAGAGGCGGCAGUGGGGGCCUGUUGUUGGCGCUGCCCAGGGCUUAGCAAUUCCUGUAGGGACUCGGUUUGGCUAGGCGGUGUACGGUUAGUACGGAAGAGGCGCUGCAGGAGCUGCGCGGCAGUGGCCGAGGGCUGCUGCGACGAAGGUUGUUGCUGCUGCGGCAGCUGUCGCGGCGGUGAGCCCGCCUCAGAGGUCGCGUCGGCGGCGGCAGCUGCGUGACCCGGCGCCGCCGCCGCCAGCAGCAGCUCCGCGUCCGCAGCCGAUGCUCCCUCAGGCUGCCCUGGCACGGGCCGGCCGGCGGGGUUGGCAAGCUGGAGGGGCGGGUUGAUGACGGCGGGUGGUACGAGCCCGGGGCCGCGGGCUGGGAACGUGGCGGCGAGGAGGUGGUCCAGGGUUGGCGGAGGCGGUGGCAACGGAGGGGACGAGGGUGCGGUGUCGGGGCGGCCGACGGCGCCGGGUAGCGGUCCCGGAGCCAGGUAGUGCUUGUUUGGUGGGGCGGAGUUAGGCAGCCUGGGUGCGCAUGUUUCAGGAGGAGGGAAAGUGCCCUGCUUACGUCAAAACGGACGAAUGAGUACGUAUUAUGGACACAUUCAUACAUACAUACAUAGGCCCGUUGAGCGUAGUAAAGCGUAGUGGGAGUCUAAUAUAGAGAUAGUCGUAACGAGCUAAGAGACAAGACAAGCUCAGAAGCACACGAACUCACAGUUCCAGGUCACACACGAGCCCCAUCACAACAACCUCACCGCCAUGGAAGUCCCCCCACCCCUCCACCCCGGGUAGUGCCGUCCUCGCAAGUUGCUCUAUCCUGCCCUAGCCUACCCCCUGCCCUGCCCUAGCCUACCCCCUGCCCUUCCCUAGCCUACCCCCUGCCCUGCCCUCCCCUACCCCCUGCCCUGCCCUCCCCUACCCCCUGCCCUGCCCUAGCCUACCCCCUGCCCUGCCCUCCCCUACCCCCUGCCCUGCCCUCCCCUACCCCCUGCCCUGCCCUCCCCUACCCCCUCCCCCACCGGAAGGCCUGCGGCGCGUUGCCCACUGCCGCCAGCGACAGCCCCGUCGUGUUGGGCCCCAGGAUAAGCCCUGCACCCAGGGCGCCGUCGAAGGGUGAAGCCUCUCGGAGCCUGUGCUGGUGCUGCUGAGGUUGCUGGUUGUGAGACAGACCCUGGUGGGACUGGUGCGAGUGGUGGGAGUGGGAGGAGCCCAGGCCGGACCGCUCGGCAGCCAGGCCGUUGCGGCGGGCAGCCCAGGCCGCCGCGGCGCCGGGAGGUGCCGCGACGGGGGCUCCGCUGCCGCCGGCGCCGUUGCCCUGCAGCAAGGCAGGGAGGCAGGUUUGCGAGGUGAGAUGGGGCGAGUGCGGGAAGAAUGACCCUAAGGCGCUCAAAGGGCAAAAACAAAAGUGCACAACUGACGAGGACAGAAGGCCGCCCCCUUAUUGGGGAAGGCGAGCUGACUCGGUGAGCUACGGUGAAUGGCGGGGUGGGGGGAGGGCCUCAGGCGGUGACUGUUUGUUGCCUCCCGCGUUCCGAAAAAGGGAGAUGCCUCUCUUGACACAGCACACCGCGUUACACCGGCACGUCGGCUCGGCCCUUCCCGAUAGGCUCGGGAGCCCGUGAGGGGGAGAGGGAGUAGGAGGGAGGGGUGCUCCAAGCGGCAGCCUCAAGGAGGCAGCUUUGCCACAUCGCGGGCCGCCGCUGGGGGCUACAACUGCCGGUUGCCGUUAUCAUGACGAAGGCGUGGGCCGCUGCUCCUAGCCGGAGGUCCUAGUGGCUGACGGCCUGUGCUGCUGUCGCUGCUGCUGCCACCGCUGCUGCUGCUGCCGCCACUGCUGCUGCUGCUGUCACCGCUGCUGCUGCUGCUGCCGCCACUGCUGCUGCUGCUGCCACCGCUGCUGCUGCUGCUACCGCCACUGCUGCUGCUGCUGCCACCGCUGCUGCUGCUGCUACCGCCACUGCUGCUGCUGCUGCCACCGCUGCUGCUGCUGCUACCGCCACUGCUGCUGCUGCUGCCACCGCUGCUGCUGCUGCUGCCACCGCUGCUGCUGCUGCUGCUGCUGCUGCUGCCACUGCUGCUGCAACUGCUGCUGCAACUGCUGUCGCCGCUGUCGCCACUACUGCUGCCCCUGCUGCUGCCGCCGCUGUCGCCACUACUGCUGCCCCUGCUGCUGUCGCCGCUGUCGCCGCUAUUGCUGCCCCUGCUGCUGUCGCUGCUGUCGCCACUACUGCUGCCCCUGCUGCUGUCGCCGCUGACGCCGCUAUUGCUGCCCCUGCUGCUGCCGCUGCUGCCGCUGCUGCUCUUGCCGCGGCAUCCCAUGUUUUCCCCCCUCUCUUCCUCCUACUCCCCAGGGCCCCCUCUCACCCUCUCCCUCCCUUGUCCCCGCCCCCACCCCCCGGGAGAUACCCACUUGCUGCCAGGUGCCCUCUGGAAGGGACAUGGAUGCGCCCGGAGCCACAACCCCAACGUUGCUGCCGUGAACGCCACCGCCACCACCUCCCCCUAGCGGGCGGCCUCCCGAGCCCAGCCUCUGUGGCGAUGUCACCAGCCCCGGCGACCCCGGCCCGCCGUCCCAGCUGCUGUGAUGCGUCUGACCGCCACCACCGCCACCCUCCGGAGAGCCACCAGGGGGUCCCUGGCCCCAGGGGAAACAACAUACCGAGGGCCUUUUAACUUGAGGGGGGGAGUUUUUUAGGGUUUGCGUUACAACCAACACGGCCACGGGACCCGUGGCACGGGUAUAGGAGAAACACACAUAUCCGAUAUCUCCCCCCCUUCACCGUCGUCCGGGAGGUGUUUUGCUGCUUGCCACUUGUCCCCCAGCAACGGGCUCCAACAGCCCAGCUGCACGAAGGCCCCCAGUCACCUGCGAUCCGGGCCGCCCGCCCGAGCCCGGGGGCGGCACCCCUGGCUGGGGUAGCAGCAGCCCGCUCCCCUCCAGCCCCAGUGGCGGCGCUCCCUGGAAGCCCCGGAUGCGGGUGAACUUGCUGCGGAGGGGGGUUUGCUGCGCGGUGGGGCUGCCGGGUGAAGGCGGCGCAUCGUUCCCUGCCGGGUAGAGGUGAUGGGGCGGCUGGAGCUGCUGCGGCUGAGGAGGCUGGCCGGCGGGCGGCCGGCCGCGGGUGGCACCCUGGCCCGGGGAAGACCCUGCUGAAGUGGGGGGAGAGGCGCGCGGUGGGUCAGGUGGACCAUGUCUGUGCGCGGUGUAACAUUUGAAAUUUGGAAAAGCUAGGCGCGGGUGAGAAGGUUCGGCGCAUGGCUUUCUUGUUCGGGGUAGUGCUGACGCGCGGGUAUCGUACGGACUGCUAGGAUAUACACAGCGCGCAGUCCACCAUGGACGGCAAGAUGAUAAGACCCACAGCAUGGCAAUGCUCAUUAAGUCUAAAGGCUCACAAGGGGCCAACAUCGGAGGCUAUGAAUGUCAACUUCAUGCACAUGUGACCUACCAGCUGCCUGCACAAGCGGUGCUCGUGAGGAAAGCAUCAAGGGUAAAGGCUUCACUUUUUGUGUUCGUUGCUCCUCGCGAUCCUCCCUUGAACCCACACCCGUAAGGGGUGGCAACGCGCUGGAUGACAUUUGGCCGUCGAAGCUACGUAUCUAGCCUUAGGUUUUCCCACCUAGUGUUAGUAAACAUGCACAAGAGUACAUAAUAUGGAAAACACGACCUGGUUCAAGAGGCAACAGGUUGAGAAACGGACAAAAACAUUUAUUAUAAGAUUCCAUUUGCAAACCUGCACGCAAAACUUAGAGCCUGUGCAGACAGUCUAUGCAAAUCGACCAUCUGCAAAACAUUUCGAAAGAAACACUUUCUUCCGUACGACAACUAUUUGCUUAGGGAGCCCUAAGAGCCAGUAAAAUAAUCAAUUUAAGGUAAAAGAUAGGGUACUUAGUAGCAGCUAACCUAGGCGCUCACUGCCCUUUGGCAUAACUUGUCUUUAGGUUGAUCGGCGGCUAGUGACCAUGCUCGCAGCACCAACUUCCAAGCCCAAGGGUUCCAACGCCUGGCAGAAAUGGCUUAAGGAAGAGUGGAAAAAUGAGGCGAAGUUUGCCGCGAAUAUCCGCGUUGCUCGUGGUUUGGCUGUCUUUUUCGGAGCUAUUUUUGCGUUCCGGAACUUUGGGGAGGCGCUUUUCGGAGUGUAAUGAGAAGGCAAGUGCUUAACGCCGAUGGCAUAAGUGGAUGAGCCUGGAGUGGGUGGCGGAGGACAUCACGGCAGCGCCCUGCUGUAUGUCCCGGCGCGGUGCAAACGGACACGUGGAAUGGCGCUUUCCGCAUCGGACUAAUCCGCCAAGUCAGUUUCCACGGAGAGGGUCUAGCACAACUGUUGUAAAGGCUUGGGAACGCUGCUCCAGCGUUGGACGCUGGCGCAUGGGGGUUUCGACGUCCAUGUCAUCACUGAAGUGAGGAUUUAUGCAGCGAGAUGGCUUUACGCGCGCAGCUUGGCUCGUGUUGAGUACACGCAGAACGCAGAGUACGCUGCCCGGGACUGCUUGCCUCUUGAAGUUUCUUGGCUCGCCCUGUUCGGAAUUCCGGGUCGACCUGCAGUUGUCCCAGCGUCGAUAUUUGAGACCGGUAUCAGCGCGGUGCUGCAAUGGCAACCUUGUAUUUACCGCAGUCUAUCUGAAUCCCCCUUCUCGGUAGUGGGGGCUCACCUCCUGCAGCCUCUUGAGCAUGACAGAUGCUUGGUUGUCUUCCUUCGGAUCGUGCACGGUUGCUGAGAACCAGCAGUACUGGGGCGCUCAGGAGUGGGCGGCGUGUGUUGGAAAGUUAACAGACCGGUAUGGUGCUGCAGCCUUGCAGACAGUGGGCGUUGAGGAUAUCGGCAUCCUGUGCUUUUGAAUGUGGGAUGAUCAGCAGUCUGCAGGGUUGCUAUUGCUGCAGCAGGAGAUGAUGCUCCUGGAGCGUAAAUGCAAUGUAUACAUACGGCUUGGUUUAGACCUGCUGCAUUGAACUCGGUUACGGAUUACGGUUGUAAGAAGGGCUGUGCUGUGUAUUAUUGCAGCGGAUGACCGUACGGUAUGUGUGCUCGGUUUGCAAGGCUGUGCAACUUCUUCAACUUCCUGAAGCCACCACCAGCAAGCGCCUCCCGCUUUCUGAUCAGCCAGCGGUCCACACUUGACAAAGCUUCAGUAGCCGCUUGCUUGGCUUUCGGCUAUAAGUCUUGCUGGCAAGACUUCGAACUGCUCGUUCGGUUGAUCACAGCCAUGUAGCUGCGCCAUCGUCUUGCAGCUGUCGUGUUUGGCUGGUCAAGGAACAUCGUCAUCGGAGAAUGAGCUUGCGCUGUAAGUGGACGCGUUGAAGGUGCGCCCAAGGAACAGACCUGCGCAGGGCAACGGCAAGGUCCACUCGCGGAAAGUUGCGUGCCGUGUUUGGUGCGGCCCUCACCCAAUGCAACAGUGUAUGGGGCGGAUGUGUGCAGCCGGCGGGCGCACAUCUUGAGCAAGGAAUAGGUAACACACGGCGCGUGCUAAAGUAGGUUCAUUUCUUUGUUCAGCCUAGCCCCCUGUCCAAGAUUGCCACUUCCAAAUAGGCAAAGGAAAUCGUGUGGCCAUAUGUUAAUUUUUCUGGCCAGACUUAUGACAGCAGCAACGCGCCUAUGAAGGCCCGUGGACAGCAGCAACGCGCGGCCUCUGGAGAAUUACAGCUAUGAACCGUAAGGAACAGAACCGUAAGACACAGCGAUGUUAGAAUCAAUUAUUACAAGGGGAACAGGGAACCAACCCACGUCACUAGCCGUACAUGCUAAGGGUUGACAAAAACCAACCCACCCAGGGCACGUACUCCCAUCAUGGAGAUCAUCAUAUCCUUGCUUCUCACCAGCAAUGAAACAAGACUGACCGUCUUUAGAUUUGAUUUUUUAUGCGGUGUACAGAGGUGCAUAUCAAAACCUGGACCAGUUCCACAGAGCACAAACAAUUUUAGGCGAGCAUCCCUACCUUAGUCAAUCAUACGCGACUCGUCCCAGAGGUAGACUAUAAUAUAGUCCACAUAAACAAUAUAGAGACACCUUAACAAAAGCUAUCAUAACAUUUGAUGAACUAUACAGUUAUAUGGUUGCAACUUGCUGUAUACGGAAAACACGCUAGAGAAGCACGGAAAUUCGCAUCCUGGGAAAAGUAACUAGAAAUAUAGAGUUUGGCUUUUAUAGAAUGCUUGACUACGUUAGGCCUCGCGCUUUAGAGCUUCCUGGCUCGUCUGGGUCUUAUGAUAUCCUUGGCCGGAUGUUGAAAGCAAGGAGUCGUAAGUUACAGCGCAAGGAUGGACUUUGCAAGCUGAAUAUGAAAUCAGUAUGGCAAUCUUCUGCUUGGAGCGUUUGGUAAUUCCAUUUGUAUUUCCCUUUCCUUUGCCCAGGCCGUCUUGUUAAUUGCUUUGAAGCUUCCGCACAUUUUAGAAAGGAGCACGUUGGCUACCUUCGUCACAAAGAAACACUAAAAUGCUGAGCUGCGUAAGUGAAGUGGCUCCGUCGUGCAAAACUUGCCAUCCGCCAAAACUGUCCAUUUCUUGCCCGCUAGCUUAACCCUAAGGAGUACACCUUGCAGGUGAUCUGUAAAAUUAUUCUCAGCAAUAUUAACAGUUUUAGCAAUAUUAACGUAGUCUUGUACAUCGUGCUGUGCGGGCCCAGCAACGCCCGUCAUUAAUGCCACGCAAUUGACGAACGGGUGCGCGAGAGCUACAAUCCUAGACGCAUUGAAUGAAAAUCUACUAUUUUUCCUAUAUUAGCCCUACGCGUCUAGUACAGUAGGUGCAGUCGGAGGCUCUCAAUUGGCAUGGCACAGCAUAUGCAUCACGUGCAUGUAAAUCACUCGUAUCUUCAAAACGUUCUUCUUAAAGAAAGAUUUGACAAUUUAAUAUUCUCAUUAGCAUACUACUGAGCUGAAGAUGCUUAAAAAGGGCUGCUUCUAGCUCGACGCCGGGCGGCGGCGGUUGAGGACACGGGCAGUUCAUAGGUUAUGUAUGAUCUCAUCUUGCCAUUACUGGCGAUAUAAGGGGAUCGAUUGAUUGUUUGCCAAGCCUCGCCAUGUGUUGGACUUUUUUUUCCCAGACUCGGUGUUUUUUCAACACCUCCACUUCAUGGAAAGAAAAAUCCUCCGUAAUGAUGACAGGACUUCAAUGCUCGCUCCAUCACGCUCCAGGCAGCCCUCCAUCCCAUCAGAUCGCAUCGGAAAACACACCCAAACGCACACAGCCACGUCAGGUAACACAGCUGCAUCAAUCACCCUUCUUACCGCUGGUGGCCGUUCCCCACUCGUCCAGUAGGUGACGAGUGUACGGGGUCCCAAGAGCAACCCUUCGCCCUACAUCAUCCCUUGCAUUGGCAGAUUCUCAUACACGUAAAUUUUGCCACUAAAGCCAACAACUACAAACAACGCGCCGAGCAGCGGCAGCUGCGCCACAGAGCUGUUCAACAGUGAUGCCGGCCCGCCGCCUGUUGCCGCUGCCGGCCCCCGCCCAAGUCGUUCAAGCCCUCGACCGAGCCUGCAAUGGAGGAGCCGGGAGGGGCCCUGAAGCACUCCGUCGUGCACAUACAUACACACGGGGCUCGCGCCGGUAUCAAGUUCACCUCGUGUACCACCAUCGGCAGUUCCCUCAUCGCGGCCCCGAAGGCCAUUAACACACAAGCGGACGAGCACACACACAUGCAAGAAAAUACACACACAUAUAUAUAUAUGUAUGUGUGUGUUAAUGGCCUAUAUAUAUGUAUAUAUGAAGCGGGACUUGCUCCUGCCGCAAGACCUAAAAACCUGACCUUAAGCCCCACGAAGGUUUCUCUUUCUACUCACUGCACCCCUCCUCGACCAGGAAGCCCAACCCCACUGCCCAGCCGCGGAAGAACCCCACCUGCAUCCAAGACCUCCACCGUCCAUCCCUCCCUCCUCACAACUUCCGCCCUGGGUGGCCCCCCACCUAACCCCGCGCCUACCUGCACACGUUGGGUGCCAAGAGAGCCACCGUCGUGGUCUGCUCCGGCGUCUGGAAGGCCUCAUAGACGCCCUCCUUGACCUUGCCAGCUCCUCGCACUGCGGCUGCAACAUCCUUGCCGCCGGGCCCUGGCCCAGCUCCGAACCCAGCUCGGCCGCGGCCAGCAACAAGCCCGGCUGAGCCCAAGCUUGUGGUGGCACCGGUCGCCGUACCGCCCGUAGCUGUCGCAGUGGGCCCGCUGAGGGCGCCCACCAUGGUCGGUCCCGGCAGCGGUGGCGGUGGUGGUGGCAGCCCUGUCUCCCAGACGUACACCCAGCCGUCGUCUGAACCGCAGAUGAGGUGCUGACAGCUGGGGGACAGCGAUGCGGCGAUCUGAACGGGCAAUGACACGACCGGCCAGGUUGUUGUUAUCGUUGUUGUUAUCGUUGUUGUUAUCGUUGUUGUUAUCGUUGUUGUUGUUGUUGUAAUGGCGGUGGCGGUGGUGGUGGCAGAAGAGGUGGGAUCGUGUGGAAACAAAGCAAACAACAUCAACUGGGCGGCGGGGGGUAUCAGAGGGGGCUGGGCGCCGGGUGUUAGGAAAGCAGGCAACAACUGGUCACCUCCUGGCCCAAGGUGCUGCUCCUUGCCUGCCGCAAAUUCUUCCUUACCAAUGUCUGUAUCUGUACGUAACGCUGCAAUUGACCCAUGGGUCAGGAGGACCUCACAGCAGCAGCCCAUUGCCGCAGCCCCCACGCAUCUCUCCCAGUCGUCGCGAAAGCUUUUCCAUAGCACCUACCUUGCUUUUUGGUGACCUAUUUUGUUAUUCCCUGGCCUACCUGCGUGUUCGAGUGGCGGUGGCCCUUGAACUUGCGUUCCUGCGAGUCCGUGCGGUGGGCACGGGUGUGAGGUGCAUGGGCGGGGUUGCAUGGAUAUGGAACGGAAUGAGAUUGAAUUACACUGAGAAGUAUAACUCGUCGCGGCAGUGGAGCAAACUAGUGGACAAUUGGAUUCGGGCCCUGGGCCCUGAACAGAGCAUUGCUCAUUUAAUUAGUGGAGCCAAGAGUUUAGGCGGUGCAGGGACUGGCCCCCACCUUACCUUAUCCUUAACCUAUAGGAUAAGGUAAGGUGCCCAUACCUUCACCUACAGACACAUGAAAAGAACGCAUCGUCAGAUGCAACACACAACACGCACAACACAUAUACGCAAACAACACACGCACACAUACAUACAUACAUACAUACAUACAUACAUUUCCCCUCAUCGCGUCUCAGAUCAUAAAAACACAUACAUACAUACACACUAGGCAGGCGGCUGGCAGAGGUUAAGGCCUGACUUCUGCUCCUGGCCGACCCGGGUUCAAAUCCGCCUGCCGGCUCCUCGGGUGUUUGAGGAGUGUUGAAAUGGGAGGUGGCCCCCCAUCACAUGGAGGAUGUAGGACGUAAUAAUAUCAACAUACGAGCCAACCAGGAACCAAGUUGAUGCGCCGUUGAUCCGCUAGAUUUGGUUGGAUGCUGGUGGUGAGUUGCCGAACCCAGCGAAUAUAUUCUGAAGUCGGAUGGGGUGACGGAUUAGGGUGCCCCUCUAGCAGGGGAGAGCAAGGACUGCCCCGGAAAGGGGGCCGCUGGCGAAGUUAACCACCCUGUAACAACAUACAUACAUACUUUCUUCCUCAAAUGCCCACACCCACGGCCGCAUAGACAAGACACGGAGGUAGAUACACGC